GAUGGUAUAGAUCAGUGGUAGAGUACAUGCCUAACAUGCACAAGGUCCUGGGUUCAAUCCCCAGCACCUCCA
rnacentral:tRNA from 1 species